UACGAAGGGGGCUAGCGUUGCUCGGAAUCACUGGGCGUAAAGGGUGCGUAGGCGGGUCUUUAAGUCAGGGGGGAAAUCCUGGAGCUCAACUCCAGAACUGCCUUUGAUACUGAGGAUCUUGAGUUCGGGAGAGGUGAGUGGAACUGCGAGUGUAGAGGUGAAAUUCGUAGAUAUUCGCAAGAACACCAGUGGCGAAGGCGGCUCUCUGGGACGGUACUGACGCUGAGACGCGAAAGCGUGGGGAGCGAACAGG
rnacentral:rRNA from 1 species